rnacentral:pre_miRNA from 1 species
UUUGUACUCCCUCCGUCCCAAAAUUCUUUUCUUAAAUUUGUCUAAAUACGGAUGUAUCUAGUUACAUUUUAGUGUUAGAUACAUCCGUAUCUAAACAAAUGUAAGACAAUAAUUUUGGAAUGGAGGGAAUACUAC